UCCUCUGUGUAGAGAAAGGCCACUAACUU
rnacentral:piRNA from 1 species